rnacentral:rRNA from 1 species
GAGUUUGAUCCUGGCUCAGAACGAACGCUGGCGGCGUGUUUAAGACAUGCAAGUCGCACGGAAUGAACCGAGUAGUAAUACCUGGUGAUUUUAGUGGCGCACGGGUGAGUAACACGUGAAUUACAUGCCCUUCACUGGGGAAUAGCCCAGGGAAACUUGGAUUAAUGCCCCAUAGUCUCGCAAGAGUAAAGGUGGCGCGUUAAGCGUGCCGCCUGGGAAGUACGGUCGCAAGACUAAAACUCAAAGAAAUUGACGGGGACCCGCACAAGCGGUGGAGUAUGUGGCUUAAUUAGAUGCAACGCGAAGAACCUUACUUAGGCUUGACAUGCAUCUGUAAGCACGCGAAAGCGUGUGACCCUUCGGGGGAUUUGCACAGGUGUUGCAUGGCCGUCGUCAGCUCGUGUCGUGAGAUGUUGGGUUAAGUCCCGCAACGAGCGCAACCCUUGUGAUUAGUUGCCAGCACGUAAUGGUGGGAACUUUAGUCAGACUGCCCAGAUCAACUGGGAGGAAGGUGGGGAUGACGUCAGGUCAGUAUGGCCCUUACGCCUAGGGCUGCACACGUACUACAAUGCUCAGUACAAUUAGAACCGAUACCGUGAGGUGGAGGAAAUCUGUAAAACUGGG